GCGUUAUUUGUGACCUGGAAUACUGCUCAUUGCACAAAACCUUAAAUUGCAUGUGGACAUGAAGAUAAAUGAAGUGGCUUGUCCAAGAUCAAACACUGGAGAUGGCUGCAGAGCAGGAAAUUGAUUCUAGACCUGGCCUCAAUCCUGUCAUCAGAUCUGAGUUGGGCAGAAUCCUGCACCUGCAUGGAGUCCUGGGGUCAGAGAUUCAAUGGAUCUAACUGCAGCAGCCUUGGGGCCGGACUUAUAUAAAAGCAACCUUUUGUGCCGAGUG